AGGACGAACGCUGGCGGCGUGCUUAACACAUGCAAGUCGAGCGGAAAGGCCCUUUCGGGGGUACUCGAGCGGCGAACGGGUGAGUAACACGUGGGAAUCUGCCCUUUGCUUCGGAAUAACAGUUAGAAAUGACUGCUAAUACCGGAUGAUGUCGUAAGACCAAAGAUUUAUCGGCAAAGGAUGAGCCCGCGUAGGAUUAGGUAGUUGGUGGGGUAAAGGCCUACCAAGCCGACGAUCCUUAGCUGGUCUGAGAGGAUGAUCAGCCACACUGGGACUGAGACACGGCCCAGACUCCUACGGGAGGCAGCAGUGGGGAAUAUUGGACAAUGGGCGAAAGCCUGAUCCAGCAAUGCCGCGUGAGUGAUGAAGGCCUUCGGGUUGUAAAGCUCUUUUACCAGGGAUGAUAAUGACAGUACCUGGAGAAUAAGCUCCGGCUAACUCCGUG
rnacentral:rRNA from 1 species